CACUCCUGCGGGAGGCAGCAGUGAGGAAUAUUGGACAAUGGGUGGAAGCCUGAUCCAGCCAUCCCGCGUGCAGGAAGACGGCCCUAUGGGUUGUAAACUGCUUUUAUCUGGGGAUAAACCUACUUACGUGUAAGUAGCUGAAGGUACCAGAAGAAUAAGCACCGGCUAACUCCGUGCCAGCAGCCGCGGUAAUACGGAGGGUGCAAGCGUUAUCCGGAUUUAUUGGGUUUAAAGGGUCCGUAGGCGGACUGAUAAGUCAGUGGUGAAAUCCGACAGCUUAACUGUCGAACUGCCAUUGAUACUGUUAGUCUUGAGUAAGGUUGAAGUGGCUGGAAUAAGUAGUGUAGCGGUGAAAUGCAUAGAUAUUACUUAGAACACCAAUUGCGAAGGCAGGUCACUAAGUCUUAACUGACGCUGAUGGACGAAAGCGUGGGGAGCGAACAGGAUUAGAAACCCCAGUAGUCCC
rnacentral:rRNA from 1 species